CCCCCUCAAGAUGAGAUUUCCCAAUUCGUAAGACCCCUGGAAGACGACCAGGUUGAUAGGCUCGAGGUGGAAGCGCAGCAAUGCGUGCAGCUGACGAGUACUAAUAGGUCGAGGGCUUAUCCUAA
rnacentral:rRNA from 1 species